rnacentral:rRNA from 1 species
UACGGGGGGGGUAAGCGUUGUUCGGAAUUACUGGGCGUAAAGGGCUCGUAGGCGGCCAACUAAGUCAUACGUGAAAUCCCUCAGCUUAACUGGGGAACUGCGUGUGAUACUGGAUGGCUUGGAUUUGGGAGAGGGAUGCGGAAUUCCAGGUGUAGCGGUGAAAUGCGCAGAUAUCAGGAGGAACACCGGUGGCGAAGGCGGGUCUCUGGGCCGAUACUGACGCUGAGGAGCGAAAGCGUGGGGAGCAAACAGG